GACGAACGCUGGCGGCGUGCUUAACACAUGCAAGUCGAACGGAGUGGGGAACGGGGGAGUAACACGUGGGUGACCCGCCCUGCACUUCGGGGUAAGCCUGGGAAACUGGGUCUAAUAACGGAUAGUGUGGGAUGGGCCCGGGGGCUAUCAGCUUGUUGGUGGGGUAAUGGCCUACCAAGGCGGCGACGGGUAGCCGGCCGGGGAGGGUGGACGGCCACAUGAGGCCUGAGACACGGACCAGACUCCUACGGGGGGCAGCAGGGGGGAAUAUUGCACAAUGGGGGGAAGCUUGAUGCAGCGACGCCGCGUGGGGGAUGACGGCCUUCGGGUUGUAAACGCCUUUCACCAUCGACGCGGUAGAUGGAGAAGAAGCACCGGCUAACUACGUGCCAGCCGCCGCGGUAAUAC
rnacentral:rRNA from 1 species